rnacentral:rRNA from 1 species
UACGUAGGGCGCAAGCGUUUGUCCGGAAUUAUUGGGCGUAAAGAGCUCGUAGGCGGUCUGUCGCGUCGGCUGUGAAAACCCGGGGCUCAACCCCGGGCCUGCAGUCGAUACGGGCAGACUAGAGUGCGGUAGGGGAGACUGGAAUUCCUGGUGUAGCGGUGAAAUGCGCAGAUAUCAGGAGGAACACCGGUGGCGAAGGCGGGUCUCUGGGCCGAUACUGACGCUGAGGAGCGAAAGCGUGGGGAGCGAACAGG